UCCCCGGUAGCUCAGUUGGCAGAGCAGGUGGCUGUUAACCACCGUGUCGCUGGUUCGAGUCCGGCCCGGGGAGCCA
rnacentral:tRNA from 1 species